rnacentral:rRNA from 1 species
UACAGAGGUCUCAAGCGUUGUUCGGAUUCAUUGGGCGUAAAGGGUGCGUAGGUGGCGCGCUAAGUCAGGUGUGAAAUUUCGGAGCUUAACUCCGAAACUGCAUUUGAUACUGGCGUGCUUGAGGACUGGAGAGGAGACUGGAAUUCACGGUGUAGCAGUGAAAUGCGCAGAUAUCAGGAGGAACACCGGUGGCGAAGGCGGGUCUCUGGGCAACUUCUGACGCUGAGGCACGAAAGCUAGGGGAGCAAACAGG